UGCUUUGUCAUCUGGAGCUAGUGUUCUACCAGCUUCGGAAGCAGGAGGGAAAGCAGUCUAGCAGAGGUAUCCAUUCCCUUCCCAGCUUGUUUGGUAGCUAGCGAUUGGAUCUGCAACAAGU
rnacentral:snoRNA from 1 species